GUCGUUGAACGUCAGUCCUUGUUGUGCUGAUUGUUGCACGUUCUGACUCGCAAGUAUCUUGCUUGUCGUUAGUGUAGGGCAACAAAAAACGGAUAACAUGUAAACGUUUGGUCCCUUCCUUUUAUUUCAUAUCCUUGAAUUGACUCUCCAUCCGAGUCCAAAGUCAAGAGUAGUCAGCCACGCGUUUUCUAAGCGGAACAUACAAGGGCAAGAAUGGAUGACGAGAAGAAAGUCAGCGGAGGGAGCGUGCUGGACCGCGAAGCUCGACGGGAGAUUCGCUUGUUCCAGGAGCAAUAUGCCUCGGCGUUGACAGAAGAGAUAACUAGGCUGGAGCAGGCUGCUUCGCUCGUCGCUGGAGGAAGAGAGAGUCUGCUCGACCGAGAGGUAGCCAUACGACAGGAGAUUCGCGCACUGCAGGAGCGGCGUGCUGCUGAAAUGAAAGACGAGAUAAGCAGACUUUCGCAAACUAACGAGCUGCAUGCAGCCACAACACUGCGGAUGCAGGCACAGCUACAGCAAGCCACCCAGAGGGAAGCUAGGUGCAAACAGAGAAUAGCCAGGGCCAACCAGGAGCUGAAAUCGUGCAAAGAAAAGCUGCUGUACACCGAAAUGAGCGCCAGACAAGACCGGCUGCUGUUCAAGGAUGCCCAGCAGCAGCUGAAAGAGGCUACGACAAACUUGCUGAGCCGGUCAUUGAUGUUGAAAUUGAAGCGUGCUAAAACUGAGCUUGACGAACAGCAUAAACUGGCGAAGGAAUGUUUGAAGGAGCUGGAGAGGGAGCGUUUUAAGCAUCAUUGUAGGUGCCUGCUCUACCCGAACCAUGCUGAACUCUUGCAGCAACUGGCACCCGUACCUAUGAAGGCAACUCAGCCUGAUCACAGUGACUCGUCCGCGGCUAUCAGCGCCAUAUUGAUGCUCUCGGGAUCACGUGCAAGUUCUCUUCUUGGCGGGAUUAGUGCAGAAGGCGCACUGUGUAAGCAAGGCAGCAGCCCUACGUCUGGUGUUCUGUGAAGCUUGACUUCAUUGGAUGUGAGGGUAAAGAGCGGAUGGUGUCUCGGGAACUCGAUCAAAGUCGAAAAUGGAUAAGAGAGAAGGUCAAGUCAGUGCAGGAAGAUAUGGAAACCGUCAGGAUCAUCUGCGGCUUGUGGAAGACCAUGUCUCUAGAUGCGGGUCAAAGCACAGCAGGAGAAAAAGUUGAUAGCCAGAAUGUCACAGUGAUGAUCCGUGAAAAUUCGUCCGCUGGGAAGUGAUCGCAUGGGGAGAAGAAGCAGUGUCAACCCGUGCAUGGACACUAGUUCUGGACCUCCGUUGCCAGGCAGCUACUUGCCUGCACUGGGAGUCACGGCUUGUCGCUGCUGCUUUGUGCAGAUGUUAGGUGCUAGGGCCACUUGUGUAUCGACCUGCCUGGCUGGCGGUGCUGCCUCCGAUGAUCCUUGCCUUGGAUGUGCCCACACCGACCGUCUGUCUGUCUUCAAGUGUGCCGAUGGCUUCCAACUCCUAAAAUCUACUAAUGAAUUUCAUCAUUGUUGCUCGCUGUGUUGUUGACCCGGUGCAGUGCCGAUCCGCUGAAUGUGCUUUUGAGCAUCUGUCAUGUCCGGUUCCCACUCAGUGUCGUAAGGUCUGCUGAUGAAUUUCAUUAUAGCUGGUGCUGCCAACCAACACAGUGUCAAUCCAAUGGAUAUCCCUCCGCCGGGCCUUCUGCUGGAGGUCCCAACAGUUUCACUCUCGGGUAUUCGCCGGGCCGUCGUGUCAAAGAGUGUGGUGUUCAAUCUUGACCACUAUAAGUCUACCCGUGGCCGAAAUACUGUGGCCAUGUGCUUAGCACAGCAUCACAGAACCGGAAUUCUGAAUCACCAUGGACCUUCAGUGAUAUCUUGAAGAAUGACCCACUAUUCUACUCAGUCAACUUCCGAGCUCCAUUGGCACCUGUAACAGAGCUAGAGUCAACCAUGGAUGCUGCUUACCUGUGUGGAGCAGCGGUAUACGAUGCUAAACCUGACAGCGUCACAGAGUUUGAUUACAACAUGUCAUUGUGCUGCAUCUGCCACAAGAGCUGUCUGGUGUCGAAGGUAAUCCAACGGUACAGUCAAACUUCUUUAGGACGAACGCUCUUUUAAAGGAACCCUUACCAUUUGUAUGAACUAGAUCCAGUCGUACGGCGGGCCAGAUCAAGUCACAAUUGGCAAGUGUGUGAUGAACCCCUGUCCAGCGAACUUUCAUGAAGACGAACCGUAUAUUUCAAGCGUAAUUUGAACAAAUCAGUGUGCAAGGUGAACGUGUGACCCACAUGCACAGUCUGGUCAUGCAUGUGUACAUGUAUAGCUAACUAGCGGCCUACACGCAGUAGAGCACACUAACGUUACACGUACAAGACUCACAUGAAGUCAUUGCCCAUUGUACUUCCUGUUGCUGGCUCCGUAUGCUGUGAAAUUGUGUGAAUACUAAGUAUAAGCUUUACAUGUGCCACUGGCGGCAUGCACGUUCACGUCAAUACAAUCUGUAUGAUAAUACACUCCGAACAAGACAAACAAACAUGUUCCGUCAUCUGAAAAGAGGUUCAACUGGCUGUAUGUGUACAUAUACAUGUAUAGAGAAAAUGCUUACAGCUGACAUGUAGACGCUCCCGUCUUUUUAAUAACUAUCCGCCCACUUUGACCAUCAUAGCAAGCUGAUCACGGUAGACGGCUGAACUAAUGUCAAACUGGACGGACCCUGUUAUAAAUGUACGAGCACUUUGAAAGAAGACUCAACUUUAGUUUACCUCGGAUAUACUAUACCACUCACCCACCAAGUGCUAGGCCCAAACCAACAGAGAAGAAAGCCAAAGUUUCAU